UGGUGUGCUAAAGUCGAGACAUAAUGAUAACCCUGUGUCAGAUGAGCUGUUCAGUUCAGAGCGCAACUCUCUAUCUCUCUCUCAGGGAUAUGAUGAUCUGAAGGCGCAAGAUUUUGUAAAUUUUUGUUUCAUCACGAAAAUCUCUUGUGUAAAUUUUCAGAGACAAAAUAGGAGGAAUCUACAAGAUCUUAUUUAUUUGUUAAAAUUAUGCAGAAAACUGUGAGUUCAAAUCCCAUGGAGAAAACCACCUCAAUAUGUUGUGCUCAAAACGCAAGUGAGAAGGAUGAUAAAGGAGGAGGGUUGUGUUUGAAGGAUCGUAUUAGUGGAGUGGACUUCCUGAUGUUAUACUCGUUUCCAUCUUGUCACUAUUGACAAUGAAAGAAGAUGGAAGUAGUCUGCUUUCAAAGAGAUGGAGUUGGAAUUAUUCAGGGAAAAGCAGGAAAGAAUACGACAAAGUUUUGCGUCUCGGCCCCAUCAGUAUCUUAAGGUGGUGGAAUUCAUCGGGUUUGUUGGGCGUACAAAUGAUGCUGAGCUUGCUAGGUAUUUAAUCAAGAACGCCGUCAUGCUUGAGAAGAUUACUUUUGAUUCUCACAGACCGUUUCUAAUAGGAACUCCAUGGGAGCACAAGGAUACCAAGGAGAGAAAAGCAGCAAGAAAGCGUGCCAAGCAUUUCCGAACCAAACUUCCUGCUAGAGUCACUACAAGAAAUUCGGAUUUUAGGGACAGUCCUUUAGGGACAGUUUUAAAAACUGUCCCUAAAACUUUCUUUUUUAGGCACAGUCAUUUAGACCGUCCCUAAAAAUUACUUUUUUGGCACAGUUAUUUUGACUGUCCCUAAAAACACGAAUGGCCCGUCCCCAAUUCCACAAAUAAAUUGUGCGGGAAGCCUUGGCGCUUAAUUCCCUGUUUGCCGCUAGCUUUGUUUUGCCGCUUAAUUCCCUAAAAUUAUUUUAUUUAAUAAAAAAAUGAAAGCUACGUCGUUUAAUUUCAUUACAUCAUAUCCUAGCUAUCAUCAGUUCCACGACCCGCCUCAAGCCCUCACUCCCUCUCUUCCACCUCUUCCACCCUCGCAGAACACUGAAGCUCUUCUACCCUCACAGAAGACUGAAGCUUUUCCACCUUCACAGAAGACUGAAGCUUUUCCACCCUCUUCCACCAUUGCAGAAUAUUGAGGCUCUUCCACCCUCUGAAUGACCCAAUCGUUCCAACAUCAACUCUUACUCUUCAGGUACAACAAUGUUUUUAUUUUUUCAACAUUUUAGGGAUUAUGCCUCUUUCUUCGAUUUUCAGAGAACCCCCAUCUUCGAUUUGACAUUCAUAUAACCAACUUCGGUUUAAUGAUCCUUGCCCUAGUUUUGGUCCAUUUUUAUUUUGAUUGUUUCAGAUCUGGACACAUAUAUAUGCUAUUUGCAAUUUGUGUUUAUUUUAGGGUUUGGAAAAUUAUUUGUGUGUUUAUUUUCGGUUUGUGAUUGUUUUUGGCUUUAGUUAAUGGUUUAUAGUCUUAGAGGUUGAUUAUUAUUUUUUUUUUUCCUGAACUUGUUUUUUAUUUUUUAUUUAGAUUUUACAAAAUGCAGGUGAUUAAACAGCGUUUCAAAGACUUUGUCCUGUUUUUUUCUCUGUUUUUGGUUGAUUUUCGAAUAAUUUUGGCCUCAACUAUAUUUUUUUUGGGCUUGAAUUUUUUUGUCUGAGGGAUUGUUUGUUGUUUAUUUGUGUUUGAAGUUUGAUUGUACAUUUUUCACUGUUCCAAGCAAUGAAAGAGGCAACGAAUUAGGCCAAGUUGGGAUGGAAAGAACUCGGAUUAAAGUAGAACCUCAAGAUUAUGGUGACCUUUCCGGAUUCCAUGAUUUUGGGCUGGAGAAAAUUGGUAGUGAUAAAGUGCUUGAUGAGGGAUUUUGGGAAAAUUUAAUGAAUGAGGAGAUUGAAGAAGAAAUUGGUUUACUGGAUGGUGAAGUAGAAGAAGAAGAAGAUGUUGAUAUUUUAGCUGACCAGCUUGGUAUAUUGGAUUCUAUUCCAAGAUAGUGUGUAGUUUAUUCUAGCUUGUUAAUUUUGUGUUUGUCUGCUUCAAUAAUCUGGUUAGGUGACACUAA